AUUACUUAUAUUAGACGGUAGGUAUAAAAGACUGGUGUCACUAGUAAACAUUAAUAGACAGAUUCAGUAAGGUUCAGAUCCAGAGUUUUGUAAUAUCAUCAUCAUGAAGUGUGUCAUUUUUUUAGUGAUUGUCGCUUCCUUGUACUUGACAUCAGCUGAAGAAAAUGAAGUUGAUGUUAAUCUUAGGAAAGCCAUGGAAGCCAUUAAUACUAUUGUCAAGAGAGGUUCCGAAGAAUCUGCCAACAUUGAAAAACGAGAGAAAGGUAUUCAUGUAAACGGGCGCUGCAGUAGUCUACUUGAAGACUGCAGCAGUGUACAACAUUGCUGUGGUGCAUUGGAGUGCCGAACGACAAAUGGAUAUUAUGGUUUUUUUGGUGGAAACUGCCGUGCACCAUAACAAAUUCUUUUAUAUGUUAAGUGUUUGUUAAGUAUUUACAUAAAUUUGAACGAAUAAAAAAUCGUGUUUUUUUUUUAUUACAUACUUUCAAUAGCGAAGACAAAUAAAAAGAUAUUUGAAAAGCAAGAACGUAAUAUAUCAAUCAGGAACCGACCAUACGUCAUCAGGGCCAUAGGAGUUCGUCAACCGAUGCGCAAUAGUCCCAAGAACAAGCGGGCGAAGUUUCAUGUUCAUUGGGUGGUUUUUUUUUCGAAUACCAUUGCCCCAAGAAAAAUGCACAAACACAACUACGAAGUGUACGGAAUCGGUAUUUUUAUUCAAAAAACGAUACACAUAUUAUAUUACCGUCUUCGUAGACUUGCACCCACUUCAUUAAUGAUCCAUUCGUGUUUCACAUCCAGCCAAAAUGUAUCAAGAUACUUAUUUCUGACGAGUACCUAUUAUACGAUCUUAUUGCUGGAGAAAUGAAACGAAAUGCCGUAUUAUGUCCCACUGGAUUAACAAAGACGGACAUUAUGAAGAUUGGCAUAUGUCAUAGUGUGCUAUGAGGGGAAAGUUUACCUUGACAGCGGCGCUAUGGCCUAUUCUUAUAUCGAAUUCCAUCUGGCAAGGGAUCAUUUACGUACACGCUGUUGUGUACACGUCCUACCCGAACGCCUAUACGUUGUCCCUUGGUCCUACACCACUGACAAGGGGAAACACGUCGGAAAAUCGAUGAACUUUCUAGGCGAACACAGGGAUCGAACACGAGCCUUCACGUUAACGAACCAACGUCUUACUGAACCACUGGACACAGCUGCCGUCAUUCCAUGAAGCACCGUACCUAACUUAUUAGUAACAAAUUAGGCGUAUUGGCCUUACUAUUCGUUUGUGCUUAAGAAGUAAGGUACAACAACUAAAUUAGAUAUCAAGUGAAACCACGACAAGGGUUCGCACCACACUGAUCAGCUGUGAAUUUUCGCUAAGCCGCUACAAUCACUGAUAAGGAUGACAUCGAUGCGACUUAAUGAGUCCUAAAUAUUAACUUUUUUCUUCCGUCAAAUUAAAUUUUGAAACAUUUUUUUCAUGUAUUAGAAAAAUAAAUAAAGCCGUUUGAAUUAUU